rnacentral:rRNA from 1 species
CAGAAUUUAACCUAUAAUAAAAAUUAUCACUAUAACAUAAAGUAAACUUAAUAACUGAUUUUAACUUAUAGCUUGUAUAAUUAAAAUAAAAUUAAGAAAAAAAAUAUCUGAACUAGUCAAAUUAUUUUUUUAAUUAAAUUUAAUGAAGGAAUAUUGGCUAAUAGAAUAUUUUUUAAUAAUUUAAAUUAUUAUAACUAAUAAUGAAAUAUUUAUUAUUGUAAGAAAUAAAUGCUUGAUGAAUAUGGAUAGAUAUGAUUAAUUAUAUUUCUAUAUAAAUAUAAAUAUAAUUUUACAUAGUAAUUACGAUUACAACUAAGAAGGUGAAUUUAUAAUGAGACCUGUAUUUUAUAGGUUAGAUUUUAUUAUUUAAGUACGAUGAGAGUAAACUUGUCGGAAUAUAGGGGAACCAUCCUCUAAGGCUAAGUAUUAUAAAUUUAGCGAUAGUGAAAAGUACCGUGAGGGAAAAGUUGAAAAGAGUGUUGAACUAAUAUUUCUUGUAAAAAUAGAAAUAAAGAUACAAAUAAUAUUAGUUCUUAUCGAACAUUGUUCGAACGAAUGUAAAUAACACGCAGUGAAAUAGAUCAUGAAUUAGUAACUCUAUAAGCAGUCAAAGUCACAAAAUUAAAUUUGGAACGUGACAAUGGCGUACCUUUUGCAUAAUGGGUCAGCAAGUUAAUAGAAGUAGCAAGGUUAAAAGCCUAAGCGAAAGCGACUAUAUGAAAUAAUUAAAUAUGGGUUAAGUUACUGCUAUUAGACCCGAAGCCAGGUGAUCUUUCCAAGAACAGAUUAAUAAAGGAUCGAACGGGUGAAUGUUGCAUUAUUCUCCGAAGAUUUUUGGAAAGCGGUGAAAUGCCAAUCUGACCUGGUGAUAGCUGGUUUUCUACGAAACAUAUUUUAGUAUGAGAUCUACACAAUAUUUAUGGAGGUACAGCACGGUAAUUCCAUACAAAUAUUAAUUAAUUUUAAUAGGAGUUUAAUUUGCGGGGACUUAAAAAUCUUACCAAUGGAAAUAAAUCUCGGAAUUACAUAAAUAGAUGGUAGAUAUUCAGACUAUUCAUGAUAAGUUGGAUAGUCAAGACGGAAACAGCCGUGAACACUGAUUAAGGUCCCGAAUGAUUAUUAAGUGAAAUAAAGGAAGUGACAAAUUGAAUGCAGUUGAAAAGUGAGCCUGGUAGUCGCUACUUAUAAUGAACGUGUAUCAACGUAUCAGCCCUUAGAUUGUUGCUCCGAAGAUUUAACGGGUCUAAAAUAAUCAACCGAUAUCGUGUUAAUUUUAAAUAUAGAACAAUAAUCUUCUAUAUUUAAAAUCUAGGUAGUAGAACAUUCAGAUAAUUAAAGAAACUAUUCCUCUAGGAAAGGAAUACAAACCUAAAAUUGACAGUGUUACAUUGUUUAUAAAAUAGGAAUCUGAAGAGAUAAUGCUGACAUGAGUAACGUAAAAAGAAAGUUUAAACUUUCUCGCCGAAUACGAAAGGGUUAUUAGCUAAAGAUUAAAUCUACUAAUGUUAAUGCGGUCUCUAAGGUACAAAACCAACGUUUUGUCUGAUGAGUAUAGCUUUGAAAGUCCACAUGGAGAAUAAAAUUUUACACAUAGAAUUUCUUUAUAAUUACUUAUAAAGAUAGAAGAUUAAUUUUAAUAAAUUUUAAGACAAUUUAUUAGAUUUAAUAUUGAAUUGUUCAUGUAUUGUAUUAAGUGAAUAUUUAGUAUAAUUAUGUUAUUUAUUAUUUAAAUAUCAUAGUAAAUUUUUAUAUUAAUUGGGCCAGGAAAAAGAUGUUUUGAAUAACUUCGAUCCUAUAUUUUAACUUAGUCUUAUAAUUUUAUAAAUUUUAGAGUGAAUAUUCUAAAAUCUUUAUAUCAAAAAAAAAUAUAAAUUAUCUUUAAAUAAUCUCAAAUUAGUCAUUUGAUUAUUAUUUAAUCUUUUAAGAUUGUAUAUGUAUAAGCAAAAAAAUCCUAAAUUAGUAGAAGUUAAAUUAUUUUAUAUAAUUUAGUGAGAGCUGAUUAAUAAGUAAUAUAAUGAUUUAGGCAAGUUUUAUUUAAGUAUAGUUUCUAAGCACAACCGUACCCUAAACCGACACAGGUUCGUAGGUAGAGAAUACUAAGGCGUAGAGCUAAAAGUUGUUAAGGAACUCGGCAAAUUAUCCUCAUAAGUUCGACAAGAAGAGGAACCAUGAAUUUAGUAAGUUAUUAACUCCUAUUAAUUUAUUUAUAUGGUGGCACAAAAUCGGAAGCCCCGACUGUUUACUAAAAACACAACUAUCUGCAAUUAUGAAAAUAAUAGUAUAGGUAGUGAGAUUUGCCCAAUGCCAGAUUAAUAAGUAAUAAUAAUGGGUAACUGUUUCUUUACAAAAAAUUGGUUAAUAGCGGUCUUAACUAUGAGGAUCCUAAGGUAGCAAAAUAAAUUGGCCAUUAAAUGUGGUCCAGUAUCAAUAAUUUAACGAUGGCUUCACUGUCUCUACAACUUGCUCAGUGAAAUUGAAUUACCCGUGCAGAUGCGGGUUACCUCAAAGAGGACGGGAAGACCCCAUGCAGCUUUACUGUAGCUAGUUAUCAUAUAAAAAGUUCUAUAACCUCGGUUAUACAGAUAAUAGGGAGUCGAUUAGACAACUAUGGAAAACCUUAGGUCUGAGGUGGAACUGGUAUUUAUCUUCUUAUUUAUAAGAUUUAAGAGGAAAUAGCUGACUAGUUGGCAGUUUGACUGGGGCGGUCGUCUUUAAUAGAGUAGCAAAGUACAUCCAAAUAGAUUAAAAUAUUAGAUAAUAUUUACUAUUUAAUUAAAUAAUAAAUAUUCUGACAAAUAACUUUAUAUUGUGAAUUAUUAUUUAAUAAUAAUUACUUUAAAUCAAUUAUUAUAUUUCAUUAAUAAGGUAUGCUAGACAUUAAAUGGAGGUUAAUGAUCCAUGAAAGGUUCUGUAGGGUGCAAUGACGUAAGCAUGCUUAACUGAAAGACUUAAUAGUCGAACAGAUACGUAAGUAGGGCAUAGUGACCCUUUGCUAUAUUAUGGAAUAGACAGGGAUCAAUUGAUAAAAGUUACGCUGGGGAUAACAGCCUAAUAGCCAGCGAGAGUACACAUUGUCCUGGCUGUUUGGGACCUCGAUGUCGACUUAAUUUAUCCUCCAGGGGCAAAACCUUGGAAGGGUUCGGCUGUUCGCCGAUUAAAAAAUUACAUGAGUUGGGUUUAAUACGACGUGAGUCAGUAUGGUCCCUAUCCUUUUGAGGGAUAAAUAGUAAAAAGGGGGAGACCUUCUAGUACGAAAGGACCAAUAGGCUGUGUUUCUCUAGUGUACCAAUUGUAAUAUUAAAUAAUAUUUAAAAUAAGUUAUAAAUUAACUUAAUAAAAAUAUAAAACUUUGCAUAGUUGGGUAGCCACAAACAUAUUAGAUAAUUACUGAAAGUAUAUCAAGUUCGAAUCUAUCCCCUAGAUACUAUCAAUGGAUUUCUCUUUGUAAACUAUCACGAGUGGUUAUUAUUACUUUCCUAAUUAUAAUCAUUUCUUGUAAUCGGUAUAAAAUAGAUAUACUACAAAUUUAUAC